rnacentral:rRNA from 1 species
UUAAUGUUCUUCGUGAACAUAGCGAACUGCUCAGUAACACGUGGAUAACCUACCCUUAGGACCGGAAUAACCCCGGGAAACUGGGGAUAAUACCGGAUAAGCCAUAGACGCUGGAAUGCCCUAUGGUUCAAAGCUCCGGCGCCUAAGGAUGGAUCUGCGGUCUAUCAGGUUGUAGUGGGUGUAACGUACCUACUAGCCGACGACGGAUACGGGUUGUGAGAGCAAGAGCCCGGAGAUGGAUUCUGAGACACGAAUCCAGGCCCUACGGGGUGCAGCAGGCGCGAACACUUUACAAUGCGGGAAACCGCGAUAAGGGAACCCCGAGUGCCAGCAUCAAAUGUUGGCUGUCCAGAUGAUUAAAAAUCAUUUGUUAGCAAGGGCCGGGCAAGACCGGUGCCAGCCGCCGCGGUAACACCGGCGGCCCGAGUGGUAACCGUUUUUAUUGGGUCUAAAGGGUCCGUAGCCGGCUUGAUAAGUCCUUUGGGAAAUCUGGCAGCUUAACUGUCAGGCUUCUAAGGGAUACUGUCAGGCUUGGGACCGGAAGAGGUAAGGGGUACUCCAGGGGUAGGAGUGAAAUCUUGUAAUCCCUGGGGGACCAUCUGUGGCGAAGGCGCCUUACCAGAACGGGUCCGACGGUGAGGGACGAAAGCUAGGGGAGCAAACCGGAUUAGAUACCCGGGUAGUCCUAGCUGUAAACGAUGCUCGCUAGGUGUCAGACACGGUGCGACCGUGUUUNGGUGCCGCAGGGAAGCCGUUAAGCGAGCC